CGUUGGGCCAUAGCAUAUGACAGUUAUAGAUGAAAGUAUAAUAAGAUAGGAAUUGUUAUUGAGCUAAAGAUUUGUGUUAUCAGGCUCAAGUCUGCUACAUCAGUCUAUAGGGAGAUAGAACCGUCCGCAACAAAUUAGUGGAAGAAUUUCUAAGGCAAAACAACUCCAAAAGACAACUCUAAGGCAAUCAAUAUCCUAAGCAUAGGCUAAGGUCAAGAAUAAGUCACGAAUAAUGAUACAAAAGGGCAUAAAGUCACAAUAUAGCAUGAUAUAACAUCACAAAUAUGGUAGACAUGCAUAAUUACCAGAAAGUUACGCUAAGGCAGGAUUUCUAUCAACUAAACAUGAAACAAGCUAAGAGCCCUCCCAAAACUAGCUAAAAACAUGUAAACACUAACGCAAGCUCAAUCUAAGGUCGAUAAGUCGUAGCUUAUCUCGAAGCCAAUCG
rnacentral:lncRNA from 1 species